rnacentral:snRNA from 1 species
AAUUACAUAUUCAUAAAUCAGACAUUU